rnacentral:tRNA from 2 species
GGGGUGUAGCUCAAUGGUACAGCACUUGCCUAGUAUACAGAAGGCCUGGAUUCAAUUCCCAGCACUACCA